rfam:Rhodococcus fascians strain 1168 contig495, whole genome shotgun sequence.
CGUCGAUACCCCACACUCGGAUCGUCCGGCACGUUCCUGCCGGUGGAGGGAUUUCACA